rnacentral:rRNA from 1 species
GGACCCGCACAAGCGGUGGAUGAUGUGGAUUAAUUCGAUGCAACGCGAAAAACCUUACCUACCCUUGACAUGUACGGAACCCUGCUGAGAGGUGGGGGUGCUCGAAAGAGAGCCGUAACACAGGUGCUGCAUGGCUGUCGUCAGCUCGUGUCGUGAGAUGUUGGGUUAAGUCCCGCAACGAGCGCAACCCUUGUCAUUAGUUGCUACGAAAGGGCACUCUAAUGAGACUGCCGGUGACAAACCGGAGGAAGGUGGGGAUGACGUCAAGUCCUCAUGGCCCUUAUGGGUAGGGCUUCACACGUCAUACAAUGGUACAUACAGAGGGCUGCCAACCCGCGAGGGGGAGCUAAUCCCAGAAAGUGUAUCGUAGUCCGGAUUGCAGUCUGCAACUCGACUGCAUGAAGUUGGAAUCGCUAGUAAUCGCGGAUCAGCAUGUCGCGGUGAAUACGUUCCCGGGUCUU